rnacentral:rRNA from 1 species
UAGGGAAUCUUCUGCAAUGGACGAAAGUCUGACCGAGCAACGCCGCGUGGGUGAAGAAGGUUUUCGGAUCGUAAAACUCUGUUGUUUGAGAAGAACAAGGACGUUAGUAACCGAACGUCCCCUGACGGUAUCUAACCAGAAAGCCACGGCUAACUACGUGCCAGCAGCCGCGGUAAUACGUAGGUGGCAAGCGUUGUCCGGAUUUAUUGGGCGUAAAGCGAGCGCAGGCGGUUUCUUAAGUCUGAUGUGAAAGCCCCCGGCUCAACAGGGGAGGGUCAUUGGAAACUGGUAGAGUUGGGUGCAGAAGAGGAGAGUGGAAUUCCAGGUGUAGCGGUGAAUGGCGUAGAUAUAUGGAGGAACACCAGUGGCGAAGGCGGCUCUCUGGUCUGUAACUGACGCUGAGGCUCGAAGGCGUGGGGAGCAAACAGG